rnacentral:rRNA from 1 species
AUACGGAGGAUCCGAGCGUUAUCCGGAUUUAUUGGGUUUAAAGGGUGCGCAGGCGGCCAUUUAAGUCAGCGGUUAAAUCGUGGGGCUCAACCCCAUUCUGCCGUUGAUACUGGGUGGCUUGAUUGCGGUCGAGGUUGGCGGAAUUCGUUGUGUAGCGGUGAAAUGCAUAGAUAUGACGAAGAACACCGAUUGCGUAGGCAGCUGACCAGACCGCAAAUGACGCUCAUGCACGAAAGUGCGGGGAUCGAACAGGAUUAGAUACCCUGGUAGUCCGCACAGUAAACGAUGAAUACUUGUUUUCGGCGAUAUAAUGUCGGAGGCAAAGCGAAAGCGAUAAGUAUUCCACCUGGGGAGUACGCCGGCAACGGUGAAACUCAAAGGAAUUGACGGGU